AUUGAACGCUGGGGGCAUGCCUUACACAUGCAAGUCGAACGGUAACAGGUUAAGCUGACGAGUGGCGAACGGGUGAGUAAUGUAUCGGAACGUGCCCAGUCGUGGGGGAUAACUACUCGAAAGAGUGGCUAAUACCGCAUACGACCUGAGGGUGAAAGCGGGGGACCGUAAGGCCUCGCGCGAUUGGAGCGGCCGAUAUCAGAUUAGCUAGUUGGUGGGGUAAAAGCCCACCAAGGCGACGAUCUGUAGCUGGUCUGAGAGGACGACCAGCCACACUGGGACUGAGACACGGCCCAGACUCCUACGGGAGGCAGCAGUGGGGAAUUUUGGACAAUGGACGCAAGUCUGAUCCAGCCAUGCCGCGUGCGGGAAGAAGGCCUUCGGGUUGUAAACCGCUUUUGUCAGGGAAGAAACGAGUUUCUCUAAUACAGAGACUUAAUGACGGUACCUGAAGAAUAAGCACCGGCUAACUACGUGCCAGCAGCCGCAGUAACAC
rnacentral:rRNA from 1 species